AGGAGAGGGCGGCUUCCGGGACCUGGCUGGCGGGCGCUUUGUCUCGCGUUCGCCACCGUAGGCUCUUUCUGUGAGUCUCUGCUGCUACUUCUUGGCUCUGGGAGGCCCAGGUGGCUCUGCAGCAGCCUCGGCCACCCUGUGACCUGCGGGUAUUGGGACAUCCCUAGCUGACUCCAGGAUACCCGGGAAGCCGAGGAAGGGACUCCGUGGCUUUUGAGGAUGUGGCUGUGAAGUUUACCCAGCAGGAAUGGGCUUUGCUAGAUUCUUCUCAGAAGAAUCUCUACAGAGAAGUGAUGCAGGAAACCUACAGGAACCUGGCUUCUGUAGAAAUCAUAUGAUACAGAGACUGUGAAAGCAAAGACGGUAAUCAGUAUGGACAAGUUGUCAGCCACAUUCCAAAUCUUGAUCUGAAUGAGAACAUUUCUACUGGAUGAAAACAAUGUGAAUGCAGUAUUUGUGGAAAAGUCUUUGUACAUCAUUCCCUCCUUAAUAGGCACAUCCUAGCUCACUCAGGAUACAAACCAUAUGGAGAGAAGCAAUAUAAAUGUGAACAGUGUGGGAAACUCUUCAUUUCUGUUCCAGGUGUUAGAAGACACAUGAUAAUGCACAGUGGAAAUCCAGCUUAUAAAUGUACGAUAUGUGGGAAAGCUUUUCAUUUUCUCAAUUCAGUUGAAAGACAUCAAAGAACUCACACAGGGGAAAAACCCUAUAAAUGUAAACAAUGUGGUAAAGCGUUCACUGUUUCCGGUUCUUGUCUAAUACAUGGACGAACUCACACUGGAGAGAAACCCUACGAAUGUAAGGGAUGUGGGAAAACACUCAGAUUUUCUUGUUCUUUUAAGAUGCAUGAAAGGACUCACACUGGAGAAAGAUGUACCAAAUGUGAUAAAGCCUUCAGCUGUUCCACUUCCCUUCAUGACCAUGGAAGCAUUCAUACUGGAGAGAGACCCUAUGAAUGUAAACAAUGUGGCAAAGCCUUUAGUCAUUUGAGUUCCUUUUGUAACCAUAGAAAUACUCAUACUGGAGAGAAAGCCUAUGAAUGUAAACAAUGUGACCAAGCCUUCAGUCGCCUCAGUUCCCUUCAUCUCCACGAAAGAAUUCAUACUGGAGAAAAACCCUAUGAAUCUGGGCUUUUCUCCUCUUCUCUGCUGGACUCUGCUGUUUCUCACAAGGUCUUCAGAGAGUCUGCCCUGAAUCCUACAACCAGGAGAUGAGAAGCACAGAGUGACACCAGCAGGAGAACAUAAAGAUGCGGUGACAGUUGUCCUCCUCCUGCAGAGUCCAGAGCAGUGCACUCCUACCGCUGGUGCCCUAGCUAAGACAGGGGGCCAGCAUGCCUGAUGAUUGUCUGGGAGUGCUGCAGUCAGGGUCCCCACAAUGGGCACCCAGCCAGUGCCCUUGCACUCUGCAUGAGCGUGGCCAUUGUCACCUCAGAGCCCCUGGGUACAGAACAAUGCAUCCUACCAGAGCUACAUGUGAGGAAGGACCACGUGAGUCCCGGGAAAGAGCUGAGGCCCUGCGGGGGUAGGUGGCCAGGACCGAGACCUGAUGCCUCUGUGGAGAAUCGUCUGUGGGUGUGAGUGGCACUGUGGGGUCAGUGCCCGGGUUCUGCUGCUCCCCCUCCUCAAAGAUCAGGGCCUGAGCAGGGGCUGGCGUGUGUGUGGCACCUGGAACUGCAGGGCCACCACCCAUGUGUGAGGCCAUCAUGGGGACCUGAACACGGUGUUGCGUGCAGACCCCACCCAUCCAUUGGCCCCAAUUCCUGGCCAGCUUCUGCCAAGGUGAGAGGGUGGAAUUUGGAAGGUGGUUGUAAGCUGAAGCCUGUCCCCCAGUGGCUGACAUACAGCGGUGACACUCCCUGUGUGGGGGAAAGAAAGAGAGAUCAGACUGUUAUUGUGUCUAUGGAGAAAGAUGAAGACAUAAGAAAGUCCAUUUUGAUCUCUACUAGGAAAAAUUCUUCUGCCUUGAGAUGCUGCCAAUCUGUAACCCUAGACCCAACCCUGUGCUCACAGAAGCAUGUGCUGUAUUGACUCAAGUUUUAAUGGAUUUAGGGCUGUGCAGGAUGUGCCUUAGUCAAAAUGUGUUUGCACCUCCUGGGCUCCAGGCUGCCAGCUGCCUGUCCAGGGUCUGAAUGUCCUACUGUGACCUGUUUCCUCACCUGGCCCAGAGGACAGACAGGGAAGGCUUGUUUUGAGGAUUGGGCAGGGUAAUCUCAGUCAGCCCUCAUUAGCUUGCCUAUCCUCCAGGUCUUUUUGAUUUCUUUUUUCUCUUCUUUGUUGUGAAACUCUGGAGAAUUGUCCUCCAGCCUGUCUUCAGUUGGGGAGGUGGAAAUGCUGGACCUUGCCCUUGACUUCAGGGCUCCUUCUGGGUGCCCCUUCCUCCUAGGGUUUUUAAAAGCAUAUACUUAGCAACAUACCCUGUACUUGAGAGAGAGCUGCAGAGAACCCCCUGCGUGUCCAAACCAGCACACUUUGUUCCCUGACUGCAGGCCCUCAUCGCACCCCAAAGCCCAAAUACUUUCACAUGGCCAGCUUCAGACAAGAGUCUGAACUCAAUGCUUGUUUUCUGGGGUCUACAUAGGCCCGUAUGAUGGGGCUACCUCCAUUCUACCCCUGUGCCUCCCCCAAUCCAUUAGGGGCCUCAACUCCAGUGAUCCCUAACUGGGAGCAAGGUUCCCCAGGCAAGGAAUGCAGCCCUCCCCAGGAUGCUGGCCUGGCCAUGUCCCAAGGGACAUCAGUCCUGGAGCAAGAGGUCCAAGGCAGGGAGUUUCACCCCCCAUUUCACCAGGUGCGGUGACAUUUCUGGGUUCCUAGCCUUCAAGAUGGGAUUUCUUUACUGUGCCACAGUGGGGGAAACUGAGGCACAGGGCUGGUGAGCAGUAAAGAAAGAAAACCUCUGUGACUAGGAAACGUGUCACUUGCCCAGCACAGCCGCUCCAGGAUAGCACCCUUUGGGAUGUACCGUUGAGCUGUUCCUGGCACGUGGCAUGGCACUGGUGUGGAGGUCAGCAGCUUGUGGAGUUGGGGGAGGGGGUGUUGGCAGGAGUGGGUAAUUUUGGACCCACCAUGGGGAGGAGGGGGACAUUGCCCCUUUCCCCACACCAUGGGCACAGCAGCAAUUUUCUUCUCUGAUGUGCGUGGGCACCAAUGCCUAUGUGGGUGUGGGUGCAUCGUCCCCUUUUGUUGAUGAAGAACCUUCCUGCAGCCAUUGGGGUGGGUAUGGGCACCACACAUGCCUGGCAGCAGGGUGGUGCCUGUGGAGGCUUGGCUACUAUAUGUCUCCCUGCCACCUCCCCAGGGGAAGCAGACCCUGUACCCUGUGCCCUAGUGUCCCUCAUACCCAGUCCCUCACAUUCUUCACUUGGCAUCCCCCUGCCUGAUUCUCCCAACUCAGCACUUGCCAGGUUUCUCCAAGCCCUGUGGGCCCUGGGAUGGGAUUAAAGGAGGCAGCAACUGUGCUGCCUGCCUCUGCCUGAAGUCAGGGAUCCCUGGCCACUACUGGCAUCUGGUGGGCAGGGUAGGUGGGGAGGUCAUGGGUCAGCUUUUCCACUCCCUAGCCUGCACUGACUAAGUCACCAGGUGUAACCGGCCUGGAGGCUGAUCUGUGUCCUCCACAGUCCCUUGAUGCAUUAUAUUGAAGCCAAUCCUUGUGUGAAUGACUUGACCUGUUGUUACCGCCCAGAUCAAACCAGAACUGAAAGACUGUUGAACAUGGACCCAGAGCCUGGGGCUGAGGCUGCCGUGACCACCCUGUUCUCUUCCUUCUGGGGUCCCCAGGAAGCUCCCAGGAAAGAAUGAUCCCCAUAAAACACAGUGGCCAGGAUGGGAGGGCUGGAGGUCAACCCCCUCCAACACCUAUCACCACAACCAAGAGGCCCCAUGGAGAUUGGCCCUGAGCUGUGGGUCCCUGUGGGAUGCAGAUUCCCACAGAUACUUCAGGGGAUGAGCACGGGUCCUCCUGGCUGACGGGAGCCUGGUGGGCACUGGGUGUGUGGGGCCUGUGUAGGUGAGUUGGACAGCACGGGGCCUAGCCAGGGAGCCAGGGACUGGUGUGGCCAAAGUGGGCAGCAAUAUAUUGCCAGAACCAAAACUACAGUGCAACCAGCCCAGCUGGUAGGGAGGAGGAGGCCUGCCUAGCAGGACCGUCCACCCCUGUCCUGGCCCCAAGCCCAGACUGCCUGCCUGUACUGGACAUUGCCUGGUCCAGGAGGCCUGGGCAUGUGGGUCAGGGGGUGUGUCCCUGGGUUCCAGACUUUGGUGGACCCUUGGGAGCUGAGCAUCCUUUGGGCAGGAGGAGGGCCCGCGGUCCACUGUUUGCAUCGGCCCCUGGGGGUGUGCCCCCACCCCAGCUUCUUAGCCCGCACGGGGAUGUGGCCAGGGCUCCUCACCUGUUCUGUGGCUCCAGCUCUGAACAGCUCACUGGUGACUCUGACAGCUUCCUCCCCAAAGCUUGGGUCCUCAUCUGUGGGAAUGGGGUGUCCCAGGCCCCCUGCAGGCAGGAACCCACCCCCAGCUCCCCUGGUUGGCUCUCCUGGGCUUUCUUACCUACUGGCUUGUGAGAGCUGGUUGGCCAAACUUGGUGUCCUAUUUUUAUUUUGGCCUUUUUCUUAGUGUGUGUUUUCUGUAACUACUGCCGUGUAGAUCUUCUAUAUGAGUUUUAGGUAGAGAAUCUUGCCCAGCCAGAGGUCCCCCAUCCCAGAGAGCCUCGAGUUCGGCGCCCCCGGGCUGGUGCUGCCUGUGCUCCGCUUGGUGUGAGUGUUGAAUGUGAUGGAUCCACAUGUCUGCUUGACCCUGCAUCUCCUUCCUUCUUGUUGCUGAGGCCAGUUCUGUUCUCUCUUUCUCCACCUGAUCUGCACUUGAAGCCAAGACGAAGGAUGAGAAGUGGUUGCUAUGAAGGACCCUUCUGCAGCGAAUCUGCUAUGAGGAGGCUGCACUGGUCCAGCCUGUCAUUUCCUUCUCUAAGCUCAUUCCAGAGGUCGGCCAGGGGCAGCCCGUACCUGCCUCCUCUUGUGGCCCGUGAAUCAAAAAUGGAUUUUACAUUUCCAAAUGGUUGAACAAAUAAAAAACUAACAAUUCAUGACACUGAGAAGUGUCCAUGUCCGUAAGUAAAGUUUGAUGGGGGUGCAAUCAUGCCCAUCUCUUCACAGGCCACCUGCAGAAGGCUGCUGUGGUGCAGCCAUGGCAGAGUUGCCACCUUGAGGCAAAGAUCCGUUGGCAAAGCUCAAAAUACUGACUCCUGGCUCUUUAUGGAAACAGUUUCCAGUCCCUGGUUUAAGGGCUGUGUGGCAGAACCCCAGGAUCUUGGUCAGCUUGUUCCUCACUCAGGUCCUGCUGUGGCCUUCGCUAGUAUGUCUGCAAAGUCUGCGUGCUAUGGUGCCUCUCAUGGGGGCAUUGAGCUCUGUCGUGCUAGAUUUCAAGGUGUCUGCCUCAUGGUCACCUGUCUCACCAACAGAGACCCUGGGGCCAGAUUCAAACUAGCAGGAGCAGUUGGUCUUUGGCAGCAGGGAUACCUUCGAACUGAGCUGCCAAGAAAAGAAAGAUGGGACACAAAUGACUCAAAUCACAGACUGAGCACCAUGGCUCACGCCUGUCAUCCCAGCGCUUUGUGAGGCCGAGGUGGAAGGAUCGCUGAGGCCGGCCAGCAUACAAAACCAGCCUGGGGGAACAUGAUGAGACCCCAUCUCUAAUAAGAAUAAAUAAAUAAACAAUGACAAACCCAAGUUUCUAAAAUCAGAAAUGAAAGAGGAAACAUUAUUGCCGACCUGACAGAAAUAAAAGGAUUCCAUGGAAACACUAGGAACAAUUGUACACCAACAAAUCAGACCAUCUAGACACAACAGCCAAACUCCUAGAAGGACACGAACUACCGAAAGUGACUCAAAAAUGACCCCAAGUAAGCAUGUGGGGUAUCAACCCCACCCUCGGUCUCCUCGACCGUUCAGCGCAGGGUGGGGAGACAGGGAAGCAUGAGCUCUAUUCCCUGGCCUGCAUUUCCAAGUCUGAAUCCCCAGCACCCCGGGGAGGGCCUCGUAGGAGGAGGUGCCACAGGCUAUUGUGCCAGGAGCCACCGGAGGCUGCAGUGGGGGCUG